rnacentral:rRNA from 1 species
ACGCACGCUGGCGGCAGGCCUCACACAUGCAAGUCGAGCGCCCUUUCGGGGGAGCGGCGGACGGGUGAGUAACGCGUGGGAAUAUGCCCUUCUCUACGGAAUAGCCUCGGGAAACUGAGAGUAAUACCGUAUACGCCCUGUGGGGGAAAGAUUUAUCGGGGAAGGAUUAGCCCGCGUUGGAUUAGGUAGUUGGUGGGGUAAUGGCCUACCAAGCCGACGAUCCAUAGCUGGUUUGAGAGGAUGAUCAGCCACACUGGGACUGAGACACGGCCCAGACUCCUACGGGAGGCAGCAGUGGGGAAUCUUAGACAAUGGGGGCAACCCUGAUCUAGCCAUGCCGCGUGAGUGAUGAAGGCCUUAGGGUUGUAAAGCUCUUUCAGCUGGGAAGAUAAUGACGGUACCAGCAGAAGAAGCCCCGGCUAACUCCGUG